AAUUAAUUAGAUUAUAUUAGAUCAUAUAUUUUCAAAAUAUAAGGUAACUGUAAUAGUUUUUAACUG
rnacentral:tRNA from 1 species